UGAUCAGACCAAAUCUUCAGAACUCAUUUCUAGAAACUACACAGUCACCAGCUCAUCUCAUCACAUCUACUCUGCUUCCCUGAGGUGGACCCUGAAUGGUAAUUCAGGGCCAGCAGGGGCGAGAACAGACCCUGAAGGGGUCUACCUGGUGCCUCCCUGUCUUCCUCCAUUCUCCCAUUUAUCCAGCACAGCAGCACCGGCUUCUGUCAGCCCAGAAAGACAUAGUCACCCCAACUGCACAGAGCUCUUCUGGGGUUUCUAAGGAGCAGAAGGGCUACUAAAGACUGAGAAAAACCGUCUUCCCGGAGUCAGCUCAAGAGAUUGAGGCGUGAGGAAGGUGCUGCUGUUGUUUAACAUUUACUGGAAGCUCACGAAGCUCAAAUCUACAUGAGGACAAAACUAUGGUCUGAUCUUUAGCCUCAGAGGCCCUGGGAUGAGUCUUCAUGAAAAGCUACAGCGCCGACUUCCCACAGAAGCAGAGCGACAGUUAAGGAACAUCACACCACCAGUGAUCAGCGGGUGUGAUCGCACUGAGCAAGCAGAGCUUUUCAGCAAGAUGGAGAGGCGCCCCUGUUCUCUGCUCUGGGCCCCAGAAGCACCGAUUCAGUCCCAUUUGAUGCAGCUAUUAUACUGUAACCAUCUUGACUUGACUGUUUGUUGAUUCUACAAAUAUUUGCCGAACGCGGGCUACUGUGUAAAGGCACAAAUCAGGCACUGAAUAACUGCUGGUAGAAUGAACAAACGGAACCUCACUCAGCCUGUGAGAAUGCAGUGUAUGUGUAUGCGUAGGGGGCAUAAGUGUAGGAUUAAAAAAAAAAGGUGUUGCUUGAGCUAAAUUUUGAAAUAUGAGUGAGAGUUACCCCAGUGGAUAAGAAAAUAAAAAGGGUAUCCAGGCAGAGGUAAAAGCACAUGCCAAGGCAUGGAGCCUUUUGGGGACUCCGUCGUGGCUUAGGGAGUAUGAAGCCAGCCGGGUGCUGGGUAGAAACAGGCAGGGAAACCUGUUUUCACAUAAGAACCAGCCCAAGGAAUCAGUGUGAGAUGGAUGC
rnacentral:lncRNA from 1 species